rnacentral:rRNA from 1 species
AUGAACGCUGGCGGCGUGCCUAAUACAUGCAAGUCGAGCGAACAGACGAGGAGCUUGCUCCUCUGACGUUAGCGGCGGACGGGUGAGUAACACGUGGAUAACCUACCUAUAAGACUGGGAUAACUUCGGGAAACCGGAGCUAAUACCGGAUAAUAUAUUGAACCGCAUGGUUCAAUAGUGAAAGACGGUUUUGCUGUCACUUAUAGAUGGAUCCGCGCCGCAUUAGCUAGUUGGUAAGGUAACGGCUUACCAAGGCAACGAUGCGUAGCCGACCUGAGAGGGUGGUCGGCCACCCUGGAACUGAGCCACGGUCCAGACUCCUACGGGAGGCAGCAGUAGGGAAUCUUCCGCAAUGGGCGAAAGCCUGACGGAGCAACGCCGCGUGAGUGAUGAAGGUCUUCGGAUCGUAAAACUCUGUUAUUAGGGAAGAACAAAUGUGUAAGUAACUAUGCACGUCUUGACGGUACCUAAUCAGAAAGCCACGGCUAACUACGUG